AGAUUGAACGCUGGCGGCAUGCCUAACACAUGCAAGUCGAGCGGUAACGCGGGAGCAAUCCUGGCGACGAGCGGCGAACGGGUGAGUAAUACUUCGGAAUCUACCCACGGGUGGGGAAUAACCAGCCGAAAGGUUGGCUAAUACCGCAUACGCCCUACGGGGAAAGCGGGGACCGGAAAGGCCUCGCGCUGAAGGAGCGGCCGAUGUCCGAUUAGCUAGUUGGUGAGGUAAAGGCUUACCAAGGCGACGAUCGGUAGCUGGUCUGAGAGGAUGAUCAGCCACACUGGGACUGAGACACGGCCCAGACUCCUACGGGAGGCAGC
rnacentral:rRNA from 1 species